UCCUACGGGAGGCAGCAGUGGGGAAUUUUCCGCAAUGGGCGAAAGCCUGACGGAGCAACGCCGCGUGAGGGAGGAAGGCCUUAGGGUUGUAAACCUCUUUUCUCUGGGAAGAAGUACUGACGGUACCAGAGGAAUAAGCCUCGGCUAACUCCGUGCCAGCAGCCGCGGUAAGACGGAGGAGGCAAGCGUUAUCCGGAAUUAUUGGGCGUAAAGCGUCUGUAGGUGGUUUACUCAGUCCGCUGUGAAAGAUCAGGGCUUCACCCUGAACACGCGGUGGAAACCGGUAGACUUGAGUACGGUAGGGGCAGAGGGAAUUCCCGGUGGAGCGGUGAAAUGCGUAGAGAUCGGGAAGAACACCAAUAGCGAAAGCACUCUGCUGGGCCGUAACUGACACUGAGAGACGAAAGCUAGGGUAGCGAAUGGGAUUAGAUACCCCAGUAGUCCUAGCUGUAAACGAUGGAUACUAGGUGUUGGGCGUAUCGACCCGUUCAGUACCGUAGCUAACGCGUUAAGUAUCCCGCCUGGGGAGUACGCACGCAAGUGUGAAACUCAAAGGAAUUGACGG
rnacentral:rRNA from 1 species